rnacentral:rRNA from 1 species
AAUAGAUACCCAGGUAGUCCACGCCGUAAACGAUGAGAACUAGAUGUCGGGGGGAUUAGCCCCUCGGUGUCGCAGCUAACGCGUUAAGUUCUCCGCCUGGGGAGUACGCCGGCAACGGUAAAACUCAAAGGAAUUGACGGGGACCCGCACAAGCGGUGGAGCAUGUGGUUUAAUUCGAUGCAACGCGAAGAACCUUACCUGCCCUUGACAUUGAUGGAAUCCUGCAGAGAUGCGGGAGUGCCUUCGGGCCCUGAAAACAGGUGCUGCAUGGCUGUCGUCAGCUCGUGUCGUGAGAUGUUGGGUUAAGUCCCGCAACGAGCGCAACCCUUGUCCCUAGUUGCCAUCAUUCAGUUGGGAACUCUAGGGAGACCGCCGGUGACAAACCGGAGGAAGGUGGGGACGACGUCAAGGUCAUCAUGGCCCUUAUGGGCAGGGCUACACACGUGCUACAAUGGCCGGUACAGAGGGCUGCCAACCCGGCGAGGGGGAGCCAAUCCCAGAAAGCCGGUCGUAGUCCGGAUCGGAGUCUGCAACGUCGACUCCGUGAA